AUGGAAGAGGGAGAAAAGGCUUUUCUUUGCGUUUUUCCGUACGAGAAAUGGCAAACCGAUCAUUUUUGUCAAGUUCUUUUUUGAAGCCGACCGAAAUGCUUGUGGAUUGCCACAGUUUAAAAAGGCACCCAGAUAAAGCCAUUCAAGGCGCUGAAUGCAGACGCCAUCUGUUUUUUUUUUUCUAUUUCCUCUUUUUUCUUCUCCUUUUUCAAUCCUUGUAAUCAAAUUUGAGCAAAAUCAAAUGGAGGGGGGAGUUUCAAUGAAAGUACCUUUUGUUGGGCUGAAACGAGCAAGUAAUUUACAAACUGCCCUUCCUUUGUGUGGGAGGCUAAAGGAAAAAAGAAAUCAGUAGCUUUUAAAGCUAGGCCUCGCUGCGACUCCGCAGAUAAUGAAAGCCGUCUGUGUUGUGGGCUAGAGAGCAUUUCAAAGGCAGGCCUGACUCAGGGUUACACUGCUAAAAAACCUGCGUGUGUUUGUUUUGUGGGAAGUGCAGAUCCAGUCUUCGACGCAGUACGGACACAGGGUGAGUCGGCGAAGGAGGACGCCUGCAUUCAGCUGGAAACCGUUACUGAACGUGUGGGGAUCUAAAAGAACUUGAGCCUACUUCCCUUCGCAAUCCUUACAGAAGGAGCCGUUGCUACUUUUUUUUCCCUGCCGCUUCAUGGUGGAAGAUUGUCUGAAGAUGGUGUGGAGCUGUAGAGGGACUGAGGCGGGUGAAAGCAGCCGCGCAGCGAGCACUCUGAGCGGGCACACGUAGCGAGUGGACGCUGAUGGAUCAUGAGAGCGCGCCCGGGAAGAGCGCCUGCUCGUCGGGCGCUCAUGUGAGGAUCCGCCCGGGAGGCAAGCGGAACUUUGGAUGUGUCAGUCAAACUGAGUAACUCUUGGAAACGAGGACUGUGAGCGACACCACAGCGUUUAAGUUUCUUGCCUGUAAAUCUCUGCUCUGCUUGGGGAGAUAAAACGGCCCAAAUGAAAUGAAGACGCACGUCAAGUAUUUUUUUCUACUCAAGCAUGGCGGUGAUAAUUGGAUUGUGUGGACACCUGUAUGAGUGCAGUAUAUCCAGGGGAUUAGAGAACGGGAUGGGUUUUGCAGGUUCUGACCAAACCUGUGGGCUGAAUUCUCCUGACAUCUGUCGUCUACCAGAGGACCAGAUCUGCACGAUGAGGACGUCAGUGUCGGCAAUCUUGCCACAUUAACUAUGACCUCUUAGUAAAAUGCAUAUGCUGAAUACAUGCUGAAUAAAUCUAUCUAUCUAUCUAUCUAUCUAUCUAUCUAUCUAUCUAUCUAUCUAUCUAUCUAUCUAUCUAUCUAUCUAUCUAUCUAUCUAUCUAUCUAUCUAUCUAUCUAUCUAUCUAUAUAUAUGGAAUUCACUUAUGUCAUUUUUUUCUGUCUGACUCAUUUCAUGUUUUCAUGUUUCAUAACUCAAAUCCAUGUUUAUAAUAAAAAUUAUACUAACCUGAACCCUAACCUAAUACUCUACUAAUACUCUAAUUAGAGUUAGUUGACAUGCAGGUGCGACAUUACCUAUAGACAACAGAAUGUCUAAAGUGGAUCAUCAAAAUAAAUUGCAACAAAAUAUUUCAAUGCAAGAUAACCAUCCUUACAGAUUUUUUUUCUAGAUUAACUACUACAUUGUUAAACUUCAAUAGAUCAAUUUAAGCUAAAUAAAAAGCUAAAAACUCUAGAAAACAAGCUGUUAAGUUGAAGACAUUGAUGCUUUUAACUAUAUUUUGCAACAAAUAAGACUUAGUGAAUCAUUGAAGUGAAACAACCAAAUGAACUGAUUCACUAAAAUCAACUGCACUUUUCAGGACUAUUUAAGAUGGUUUAGGAGAGUGUCUGAUUAGCUCAUUCAGCUGGAAAGCUUUAUGUGUGAAACAAAAAGAUGCUUUGUUAUGCUGCUUGUUUUGUCUUGAGUUUGUUGCUUUUCUAGUAAUACUCAUUUGUAAAAUGAAUUGCUGUAGACUGCCAGUCAAUGCUGUGUUCAAUGAUAUGGAAAUAAAACAAACAACAUAUUUACCAA